rnacentral:rRNA from 1 species
CCUACGGUGAGCAGCAGUGGGGAAUAUUGGGCAAUGGGCGAAAGCCUGAACCAGCCAUGCCGCGUGAAGGUCAGUGCCCUAUGGGCGUUAAACUUCUUUUGUGCGGGAGCAAUAAUGGUCACGUGUGGCCAGACGAGAGUACCGUACGAAUAAGCAUCGGCUAACUCCGUGCCAGCUGCCGCGGUAAUACGGGGGAUGCAAGCGUUAUCGGGAUUUAUUGGGUUUUAAGGGUGCGUAGGCUGUGAGGUAAGUCAGCGGUGAAAUGCCCCCGCUCAACGGGGUGAAGGGCCAGUGAUACUGGCUUGCUGGAAUGCGGAUGCCGUGGGAGGAAUGUGUGGUGUAGCGGUGAAAUGCAUAGAUAUCACACAGAACACCGAUUGCGAAGGCAUCUCACGAAUCCGCGAUUGACGCUGAUGCACGAAAGCGUGGGUAUCAAACAGGAUUAGAUACCCUGGUAGUC